CGCUUCUCUUGGGGUCUGUGGCCGAGAAGACUGUGUAAACAAGCACGAAGGUACCAAUAAUCUCAGCACCCAAGGCUGAUCCUUUGUUGUAGCCAGAAGCCACAGUGUUAGCACCACCACCAAGUGAGUUGUACUCAUGCUUCAUGAAGGCCUUGACCAAACCAACACCGCAAAUGGCACCCAAGCACUGAGCCACCAUGUAAGCCACAGCCCUGAUCAAUGAUACCUUCCUUGCCAAGAACAGCCCAAACGUCACAGCAGGGUUAAUGUGACCACCUACAACAAAAAUAACACAACCAAUUACCAAAUCACUCAAACAAACCAACUGGGUACUCUUCAAAAUUUUAACUUUGCACAUGAAAACUUAAAGUUUGUAGCUUGUAACGAAAAACUGGAAAAAAACUUCAAAACUUGCAACUUUUGUACAUGGGCAAGCUUAAAUAUAGAAGCUUGUGAAAGGGUUUGUGGGGUUUUGAGUUUAGCUUACCAGAAAUGCCAGCGGUGCAGUAAACAAGGACGAAGAUCAUGCCACCAAAGGCCCAUGCAAUACCCAAAAGGCCAACACCACCACAGGCAUCACUUUGUUUCUUGUGGCCAAUGACAGUGGCAACACUGACGUAGAGGAAGAGGAGAGUGGCCACGAACUCGGCUAUGAGAGCUCUGUAAAAGGACCAGAGCUUGAGCUCAGCCAUGUCAAUGAGUGGUGCUGGUGGUGGGUCCACGUAGUCCUUGCCAUGGUGAUGGCGGUGAGUUUGUCCUUCUUCAUUCACUUCCUUUGACAUCUUUCUUUCUUCUUCUUCUUCUUCUUCUUCUUCACAAGAUUUUGAUUUCUCUUUGGAACAAUCAAAGAAAAGCACACACCCUCUCUGGUCUCGAGAAAAGCUAGCGUCUGUGUCUCUAGCAUUUUUUGGUCCCUAUUUUAAACAGGAAAGGUGGUGCAUUUUUGGAUAAGCCAAGGGUAUUUCUGGAAUUAAGUAUUGGUCCACUUAUAUUAUUUUUUUAAUUUUUUAAUUUUAUUUUUUGUGUCGGGAGUAAUAUAUUACUUAUCAGAAAAGAAAUAAUCAUUUACUAGUUACUUCUCCUCUAAUUUGGCCAUAAAUAAAUGUAUUAGAGAAUCAGAGCACUUUUUUGUUUUUUAAAAAAAAAAAGCAUAUUAGAGAGUACUUUAAAAGAAUUAGAAGUCCCUUGAACCAUGAGAAAUUCAUCAAAAUCUUUGUAACAACAAAAAAUUAUGACAAUUUUGAAAAAUAAUUUUCUGGAAUUCCAAUAAUUUUAAUUGAAAAAAAUUAAGUCUUCUAAAUAAAAUGAAAUCAUCCAGUUUUAAAUUAAAACAUUAUAUAUAGUAUCUAUAUAAUUGAUAUAUAAAUAUGGAGAUCUGUUAUGUCCGUCCUUACACUAAAAUACAUAUAUGUGUGUGUAUUAAUUGUCUUAAUAUUAAUAAUACUAGAUAAUUGGAAUCAUCAUCUCUUGUAAAAGAUGAUAAAACGUUCCUCUUUCCUUUCCAAAAAGAUGAGAAAUAAUUUAAAUAAUCUAGUGAGAAUUGAUAUUAUGGGUUUUGACACAUAGAAGGCGGCAAAAAAAUUGUUGCCUCCAAAGAGAAAAAAAAAACUAGUAUUUUGGUUUGUUUCAAUUUUUAAAAAUUCAAAAUAAAAAUGAAUUUACAGUUUAAAAUCAAAAAAAUUGAACUCAAACCAUUUGGAUUGAGUUAAACUUUGUAUUAUAAAAGGAAUUUAAGAGAUUCAAGUAAAUUUAUUAUAAAUAUUAUAGUCGUAUUAUGAUCUCGAAAAGGAAAUUAGUUGAAAAUUUGGAGAUGUGAGAAAUACCAAGAAAUUUACUUCUUUUUUUUUUUGGGUCCGAAGGGACGUGUAGCGGUGUAGGUAUAAAAAAAAGGAUUGAUAAUGGGAGGAGCUAGGGUGCAGCAAAGCCAUGUGAGGGCCUAAUCAUCUGAUCCGGCGGACAGGUCACAGAGACAGAGGGGUGAGAGGUUAAGAGGGUCAGCCUAGCCUGUCAUCAAACCAAACCCAACGUCCCCCCCAACGGUUAUUUCUUGUCUUUUUCUUUCUCUCACUCUCUCAACUUUUUCUUUUUCCGGGAAAAUUUUUAAAACUCUCUCUCUGUGUCCCCCUUUUCAUCUCUUGGUCCCUCAUAACUAUUUAUUAGACCCAUUAAAAUAAUGUUUACCCCUUUUCGUUUGGGUUUUCACCUUUUCAAUUUCUCUCUUCCCAAACGGCCAAACUCCUUUUAGGAGUGAAUUAGGGUUUGGAUGCUUAACAACAAAGAUACAUAACUAAUUACAUGUUCAGUAAUUCAAAUUGUAAGUCUCAUAUUUCAAGUUACAAAAUCUCAGACAAACCUACAAGAUUAAAAGUGCCCACUUCACAUCACUACAAACAAAUUAAUUUCUCAAAAUGCCAUGAUUAUGGACAAGAUUAAGCCCUAAUCUUUUUUAAACUUUUUCUUUUAUUACUUUUGUUCAUGAAACGCAUUCCUUUAUUCAGUGUCCGUAGAAAGUUAUUUCUUGAUUAGAUAGAAUAGAAUGAAUCAUCAUCAGAGUGUCUUUUAGCCUGGCUUCUUCUGUUGAUGCCUUGGCCUUAUCCAUCAAAGCCACAAUAUUAUAUUUUUUACUCUACAAAACAAGGCAAGGCUGCCCUCCUCUUGUUCUUUUGUCCCCAGAAUGACCUAGUGGCUAUAAAUAUCGAGUAAGAAACUCAUGGGUGAAGUUGUCAUUGGAUCCAUUAAUCAAGAUUCAAAGGAUGCCUUUAAAAGAGAGAUAUACUUGAUUUUACAUCUUGUUAAGAGUUAAAAACAUCGUGACCAAACACACGUGAGCAGAACAUGCUUCUCUCGCCCUAAAAUGGUUCUUCGAGGAAAAUUAUUCCCGACGAGAUAGUGUGGCUGGUCGCGUAAGUAGAGUUGGCUUGAGGACGCAUGAGAAGAGACCAUAAUCAAGUAAGAUCAAAGACUUGGUCAAAGGUCAACCCAUGGAUUUCCUCCAAAGAAUUUGGGCACGGAACCCACACAACAUCAGUUACGUUGCCCGCUCACCCACGAUUAUGUAAUCGACCCAAUAAUGGUUGCAGAAGAGAGGAGGCUGAUAGUUUCGGUUGGAUAUAAAAAAUCCAAUGAACGGAAGAAAAGGGGUUAGAUAACUUUUCACUUAAUUCUGGUAUACUCUUUUUCUAUAUUGAUAAAUUCUUCUUAUCUAUCUUUUUUUUUUUCAGAAAUUAAGCUUUUUAAAUUAAAGUAAUUGUAAUUAAGCCACGUUAAUUGUAGCACUAAUUCUUUUUGUUUACAAAAAAAAACUCGAUUAUUGACUUGGUUGAAUCUAACUGCUCGAGUAGAAAAGUUGCAGUGUUGAGCCGUCACCCCAACAAAGAAAUUCAAGUGUUGGCGUGGAUACCUAGUUGUAACUCUACCGACCAAAUUUUUGUAUCAACUCAUCUUAGUAUUUGAACAUGAGUUUGAGAAUAUGUUCAUAAAAUAACAAAAAAAAAAAAAAAGUGACUAAUACUAGUAUUUUUGGAGUGUAUAGAGACAGAAAUUGAUUUUUUUUUAAUUAAAAAAAGAAUUUUUCAAAAUUUGCAACAUUGCUUUCUGAAUCGCUUUCUUAGAGUAAUAGUAGAUUUUGAAUGAUCAGUUUCUUACUCUUCAAAUCUUAUUCCUAAAUUUUCUAAUAUGGUAAACAAACAAUAAUACCUUGUGAAAAAAGAAGAAGAAGUUGAAAAUGAAUUGCACAAUGCACAAAUAGCGUGAUUCUUUAACUCAUUAUGAAGUGACAUUAAAUAAUAAAAUAUACCUUUUUUUUUUUUCAAAUAAAAAAAUGCUUCCUCAAAAAUCCUUUAAAAUUAAUCUUUCAAAGCAUGAUGAAAGAGACCCUUUUCAAUAGAAUGGGAUAUGUACAUGUAGGGUUGGUUGGGGUCAUAAAAUACGGUUCACCACACCAGCGCAAGCAAAGACAUUCUCUGAAAUGGCAACUCUGGUCUCUUCCCAUUUCAUGUUUCUUCGGCUAAUGAUUUGAACAUGGGAGCAAGAAGUGGGGCCACGUUUGAUCAAAAUUGGAGUGUUGAUCAGAUCAACUAUCAUGUGGACUCCAGCUGGCAAAAGCAUCCUCGCCCUUUGAUGCUGUCGCACAUUCUCUUCGCUUGGGCUCGGGCCGGGGUCGGGUCCCUUUCCCUCACCCUCUCUCCAGUAGUCUCCUCCCUCAUCUUUAUCCGCAACUUGUCCACGUCAUGCGCCCACCACCUUAUAAUCCGUCCGUGUCAGGCUCUGUUCAUGUCGGGACCCACCCACCUCCUCAGUCUUUAAAUUGCGGCCUUGUUUCGGGUUUUAUCGUGAUAUCGCCUCAUGUCGGUUGGAUUGGAGCUAAAGUUACUUCGAAUUUAGGGUUUCCAAAUAAAUCUGUGGACGUUUUUUAGAUUAAUAAGAUUAGUUAAUUAUAUCCAAUAAUCAUAUGCGGUACAGUUUUAAAAUUACUAAUAAAUAAUGUCGAC
rnacentral:lncRNA from 1 species